UUUGGAUCGAAGCGAUUCGAUGAAAUUUUAUAGGAGUUAUCUAUCUUUACGGAAUAAAUUUGUCGGUAUAUUUUUUUAACUCAUAAACCGUUAACCUUAUAACCCUGGAAUGUUUUUAUUUGAGUCCCCUGGUCCUAACUUAGAAAAUUAGGUCAAGGUCAAAGGUCAAGGUCAAGUUCUCAAUUGUGACUUUUGCAUGUUUUUGCAUUUUCUCCAACACCUUAAAAGAUACAUAUAAAAGAACAAGUGCAAAAUGUCUGCUUUAUUGUAAUGAAGAUAUGCUACAUUUAGUAUUAUACAAUAUAAUGGCAUCUUAUAGGAGUUGGUGCCCCUGAAAUGUCUUGAUAUGAGGUUAUUUGAUUAUAACUUCAACUAAGUUCAUCAUAAAGCCAUAUGACCUUGUACAAAAAGUUAGGUGACAAAUGACCUUGAAAAAUGACUACCGGAAGUGACCUUGAGAAAACCGGAAGUAGCCUUUUUUGCAAUUUUUUCAUAUAAAAGUACUCAGAAUCCAUAUAUUUUGUCAUAUAGAUACAUAAACUGAUUACUGAAGACUAAAAAUGACUUCCAACAAACCGGAAGUGGCCAAUAAUCUCCCAUUCUACAUAUAAAAGUAUAUAGAAACUAUAUAUUUUUGGAAUCAGUGUCAAAGAAGCUAUCAUAUGAGACCAGAAGUGACAUUCAUUUCACCGG
rnacentral:lncRNA from 1 species